rnacentral:tRNA from 1 species
UCCCUGGUGGCUAAGCUCGUAAAGAAUCUGCCUGCAAUGCAGAAGACCUGGGUUUGAUCCCUGGGUUGGGAA